rnacentral:rRNA from 1 species
AACAACGAAGAGUUUGAUCCUGGCUCAGGAUGAACGCUAGCGACAGGCUUAACACAUGCAAGUCGAGGGGCAGCAGGGGAAGGACUUGUCCUUCCCGCUGGCGACCGGCGCACGGGUGAGUAACACGUAUGCAAUCUGCCCAUAACAGGGGGAUAAGCGGAAGAAAUUCCGUCUAAUACCGCAUAAUAUCCCUGGAGGACAUCCUCCGGGGAUUAAAGCUCCGGCGGUUAUGGAUGAGCAUGCGGCGCAUUAGCUAGUUGGCGGGGUAACGGCCCACCAAGGCGACGAUGCGUAGGGGUUCUGAGAGGAAGGUCCCCCACA